rnacentral:lncRNA from 1 species
AAUUCCUGAGAGCAAAUUCCCCACUACGCCUAUGGCGCAGCAGCCCAGGAGUUUCUUUCUUUUGCAUCAAACCAGAACUCUGCUGGGAUAUUGAUGUUUUUCCCAGGAUGUCCCUCUAAUGUGGGGGGAGAAAAGAACUGUAAAGAUCUAGUCUGAAGCCCGUGAGCCUGCACGGCCCAGUGGAAGGGAGGAAGGAGCCUGUGACAAACGUUUAUUACGGAGUAUGAAAAUCAGGAAGCUUUUUGUUCACUUCAUACAUCUCCUCCAACAAAGCCAGGCAUCAGCACCCCGGCACAGACUCCGGAGUGAUUAUUGUUACACAUGAUCUAUGGAGCAGAUAAAUUACAGCUUGAUUUUUAUAAGGCGCCGGAGCCCCGGAAAGCGGUGGGGUAGAGCUGUGAAUCCUAGCAACAGGAGGAGAGAGAGAACUGUACGUUUCUUCACGUCCUCCAAGUGCUGGUGCCUUCUGGUACAUCAUUUACAGGGAGCAACAGAGACCUUGGAAAGGCCCUUCAUGCCGUUACAUCAAGAAAGGGACAGUUUUCCCAGCGGGGUGGGUGAAUUAUUACGUUUUGGGGGGCAAAGCAAACAAAGCAGCACACCAGAGCUCAUACUGGUGCUGCCGUUGCGCUUUCCUUCAUCAUAACGCGCUGCCUAUCGCUGAGGGGUUUUCUCAAUUUUCUAUGCUUUUAGU